CGCCCGCACCUAUUAUUUUCAAAACAGAUUUUUUUAAUUUUUUUUAUAUUCCCACUUCCGCAUCCGGAAAUGUAAUCAUGUCCAUUUCCCGCACCGUUUUUUUGUUGUAAAUAUUAUAAAAAGAAAUCAACAUUUGUUUUUAAAAUCACAGUCUAACCUGAAUAUAACGAUUUUAAACAUAAAAGCACACCACCACACUGUGUAAAUAUCUGUGAGAAUAUUUGUUUCAGCAUGAAACCUAUUUAUCCAAAGUGGGAGUGCUUCGAUAUAAAUUUAUAACAGUGGAAAUACCUGUAAAGAACAAAAAAUUGGUUUCU
rnacentral:lncRNA from 1 species